AUUCAAAAAUAGAGCCUGCGGCGCUUUCAAACGCAAUUUUGAUACUAUUUUGUAUCGAUUUUCUAGGUACUUUACGGGUCAAACAUUCAAAAAUGGAGCCUGCGGCGCUUUCAAAUGAUUCCUAGAAACUAUUUUGCAGCCAGUUUCAAGACCCCCCCCCGCCCAGACAAAAAAAUGGACGGUGUCCCGCUUUCAGCCAACGAAAAUCUAGUCACGCUAACAGUCAAAUAAACGAAAAUGGUUAAUUCAUAAGUUAUUAAAAAAUGAAGCCUUUUUUAAAUCGAGGAAUGUCCUGUGCGCAAAUAAAUCAAUAUUAAAAACAUGAUAUACUUUAUUUUUUUUUGUAUAUAAUGCACAGGGCCCGCUAUAUUUUCCCCCCGGGCCCGCAUUUU
rnacentral:lncRNA from 1 species